CCUACGGGAGACAGCAGUGAGGAAUAUUGGUCAAUGGACGAGAGUCUGAACCAGCCAAGUAGCGUGAAGGAUGACUGCCCUAUGGGUUGUAAACUUCUUUUAUAUGGGAAUAAAAUGUUCCACGUGUGGGAUUUUGUAUGUACCAUAUGAAUAAGGAUCGGCUAACUCCGUGCCAGCAGCCGCGGUAAUACGGAGGAUCCGAGCGUUAUCCGGAUUUAUUGGGUUUAAAGGGAGCGUAGGUGGAUUGUUAAGUCAGUUGUGAAAGUUUGCGGCUCAACCGUAAAAUUGCAGUUGAAACUGGCAGUCUUGAGUACAGUAGAGGUGGGCGGAAUUCGUGGUGUAGCGGUGAAAUGCUUAGAGAUCACGAAGAACUCCGAUUGCGAAGGCAGUUCACUGGACUGCAACUGACACUGAGGCUCGAAAGUGUGGGUAUCAAACAGGAUUAGAUACCCUAGUAGUC
rnacentral:rRNA from 1 species